AAGGAAAGUCCGGGCUCUAGUUAUAAAUAUAUAGUUGCAUAAAAUGCAGUGUAGGUAACUAUGAGGAAAGUGCCACAGAAAUAUACCGCCUACAUUUUUUAGGUAAGGGUGCAAUGGUUCGGUAAGAGCGUACCAGAAAUAUCUUUAAAAUAUUUGCUAGGUAAACCCCGUAUAAGAGUAAAGAGAGUAAUAUUGAUAUUUUUAGUAAUUCUAUAAGUUUUACCUAUUUUAUUAUUCGUUUAUACUGCAUGAAGUAAUCUAUAUUUACUUAAGAUUAAUAAUUACCCUUUUCAUGUUAAAUAUAUUAUUUACACUUUUGAAAAGAACAAAACCCGGCUUAU
rnacentral:RNase_P_RNA from 1 species